rnacentral:lncRNA from 1 species
GCUCAUUGCUCAGCCUCUGGGUAUUAAUCUGCUGAGCUGGUGGCCACCUAAAUACAAUCGUCCUGUUCCCCUCAUUGGUCUCUCCGGUCUCCUGAUUCCAGCCACAUUUUGGUGAGCCAGCCAGGAGUGAAGACGACAGGUUUGCUGUCUCCUUUGCCUGUGGGUCUGGGGCCCCAGCCUGGGGGAGACCCGUGACUCCAGGCAUGCUAUCAGGACAACUUCAACCCGAGGGGAGAUCAGCUCUCCCGCAACCUGGUGCCGCUCUCUGACAGCACAACAGAACCUAAGGGGCUACAGGAUGAUUCAAGGAACAGUGUGCUACAGGACCUCGGUAAGGUUUGGGCCCGAGGCAAGACCUGUCCCAUGACAGAAGGGGAGCCUCAUCACCUCCCAGGGUAUACCUAGUAAUAUGACCCAGGAUGCAAGAGUGGCUCGCAAAUUUGGAAGAAACCUACACCCCAACCAACCCAGGACACAAAAGUGGCUUGCUAAGUCAGUUAAGAAACGAAACCGGGAGUGGGGAGGUGUGUGAAUGUGUGUGAAACAGACGAUUCCAAAAGGAACCAACGUGGGGAAUGGUGUGUGUGGAGCCACAGGUCUCUUAGCAUAGACUGUAUGCUAGGGAGGUGCCCCACAGUUUAGUGAUUGUGGUGGUCUGGGUUUGGGACUCAAACCCUCCUUUAAAGCUUAGCAGUGUCUGAAAUACUCCUGUGAGGGAGACAGUCUAAUCGGUCUGAAGUGAAAGUAAAACAGUGAGUGAAUUGUGCUGUAAAUGGGAGGAAAUGGGAGGGAAGUUGUUGAAACCCACCCCAUUAGAAUGCAUGUUAAACAACUUUAAGAAAGAUUAUGUGGGGGAUUAUGGGAUCAAGUUGACCCCCAGAGGUUGAGAACUGUCUGUGAAAUAGAGUGGUCCUCUUUCAGUAUUGGAUGGCCGGCCGAAGGAACUAUAGAUGGGGAAAUAAUUGGCUGUGUAUUUAAGGUGGUGACUGAGGUCGGAGGACAGCCUGGACUUCCAGGCCAAUUUCCUUAUAUUGACUCACGGCUGAAUAUAAUUCAAACUCGACCUGUAUGGCUAGAGCCCUGCCUGGCAGCUUAUUGCAGAACACUGGUAGCUCGAGCUGAGCCAAAAGUGAAAGAGAA